GACCUGGAUCUUCUUAUACCUGGGACACCAGCAGGGGGCGGGGUCAGGAUGGCGAUGUCCGCGGAGGCCUGACCAAUCAGCUGGCAGCAGGAGGGGUUUACAACUUCACGAUCUCCUCCCGGCUGCCGUCCACAAACCUUUCAAAUGCGCAUUGUUGAUUUUCACAAAACAUGCAGCAGUUUCGCGUUAAGUGCUGUGCGGCUGCAGUACACAGGUGCUGCAGCUGGAUGGCGCUGCAGAGCAGAUCCUGCAGCCAACAGUCUACCUCAGGACCACCGGCCCCCUUUUCUCCGCCCUGAGCUGAGUCUUGCAGGCUGUGAACUAACUACCCAUCAACCUCUGCCAGUCAAACGGCGACAGAUGGUUAGAAGCUGUACUCCGAGGAUGCUUUAAGUGUUUGAGGAAAUAUUCAAACCCUCUGCUCACAGGAUUAUCACUAUCACUCCAAAAAUGAUUGACAGGUCUUUUAAUACAGGACCUAAUUUUUUUUUGCUGCUAUUAACGGUUUGUGUAUAGAAGUUGAAUGUUUCCAAACACGAGUUAAACACACUUAAAAAGUGUAAACUUAAUGCUGUAUAUGUAAAUUUACCUGUAAUUUAUAUGGUCAAAAAAUGCAGAAUGAUCCUUUAAAUUCACUGAUUUUGACCGAUAUAUUAUUAUUUUUCAGUAAUUUUCAGAGUGCAAAACAUUGCCGCAAAACAAUUCUUCUAACUUUAACUUUAUUACAUAGUGCACAACAAACCCAGACUUGUGUUUUUAAUAGUCACAAAAAAACAAAAAAAAAAACAAACAAACCUCAGCAACAUAACAAACAAACUACAAA